UGGGGAAUUUUGGACAAUGGGCGAAAGCCUGAUCCAGCCAUGCCGCGUGAGUGAAGAAGGCCUUCGGGUUGUAAAGCUCUUUUAGUCGGAAAGAAAGAGUUGCAAUGAAUAAUUGUGAUUUAUGACGGUACCGACAGAAAAAGCACCGGCUAACUACGUGCCAGCAGCCGCGGUAAUACGUAGGGUGCGAGCGUUAAUCGGAAUUACUGGGCGUAAAGGGUGCGCAGGCGGUCUUGCAAGUCAGAUGUGAAAGCCCCGGGCUUAACCUGGGAAUUGCGUUUGAAACUACAAGGCUAGAGUGCAGCAGAGNGGAGUGGAAUUCCAUGUGUAGCAGUGAAAUGCGUAGAGAUGUGGAAGAACACCGAUGGCGAAGGCAGCUCCCUGGGUUGACACUGACGCUCAUGCACGAAAGCGUGGGGAGCAAACA
rnacentral:rRNA from 1 species